rnacentral:misc_RNA from 1 species
AGUUAAAACAUUGUAUUAGUCAACAACUGUUUGCGGAAAUGCAUUAUGGUCUGGAACAAUAGGAAAGUUUCAGUAGUCAAUACAGCUGUAAUCAUACUUAUUACGCCUUUGCAUAUGGAUGGCCAUAUAACUUUUUGGCUAGUUUCAUCAUUUAUUUUGCAGCUCAAGCUUGGAGAGUUUUGAUACGUGAUGGUGAAUGCGGUCAAAGGAUUGUACCUAUCAUGUGAUAUACCUAUGGCUCAGUUUAUCAUCAAUAUGAAUGCUUCAUUGCCACAAUCACAAAAGUUCAUCAUACAUGUUUUGGACAAUACACAUCUGUUUGUUCGAUCUGAUAUGGCUGGAAUGAUUCGUAGUGCUAUUUCAGAUUUCAGAGACGCUAACACAUAUGAGAAGCCUGCUUAGUUCUGUUUGAUCGAUGAAGUUCAGCCAUCCCGUGUGUGCCUUGUUACCAUGUAAAAUAAUUCCUAGUAAAGAAGUUUACCAUUUUCGGAAAAAGGAACAUAUAGUAUGUCUCCUGUUGUUCGUUCUGAACUGAUUCGUCACUUUUGACAGAUGUACUUAUGGCUUUAGAUUUGAAGUUCAACCUUCAAUUUGGCAAAACUACAAGUGAUAUCAUAUUCUAUUUCUGGACAUCUCUUUUGUUGUUUACUUAUUUUUCUCUUUAU